rnacentral:rRNA from 1 species
CGUCUAUAUACGUAUAGCAUAUCAAUAAGCGGAGGAAAAGAAACUAACAAGGAUUCCCUUAGUAACGGCGAGUGAAGCGGGAAGAGCUCAAAUUUGAAAUCUUCAAGGUUCUACCUUGACGAAUUGUAGUUUAAAGAAGUGUUUUCUGUUAGAGGAGUAGCAAAAGUUCCUUGGAAUAGGGACAUCAUAGAGGGUGAGAAUCCCGUAUUUGGUCAUUCUUUCUAGCUGUGUGAUACACUUUCAAAGAGUCGGAUUGUUUGGGAAUGCAGUCCAAAAUGGGUGGUAAAUUUCAUCUAAAGCUAAAUAUUGGCGAGAGACCGAUAGCGAACAAGUACCGUGAGGGAAAGAUGAAAAGAACUUUGAAAAGAGAGUUAAACAGUACGUGAAAUUGUCAAAAGGGAAGCGUUUGACACCAGUGUUGUUUUUCCGAAAAUCAAUUAAGAAUGGCUUGAUUUCGUGUUGUAUUGACCUUAUCAACUUUCUUCACUCUUUUUCGAGUCUUUCUUAACGCACUUUUCGGUUAACAAGUCAACAUCAAUUUCUUUUGUUGUAAAAGAGGUAUUUGGAAGGCGGCUUUCUUUUCGGAGAAAGUGUUUAUAGCCUUAUACCUCUACAAUCGGAGAGAUUGAGGUCUGCAGCGUAGAUCCUUCGGGGCUAGAUACACUUGUGCUAAGUUAUAGCUUUUCAUAGACAACUUGCUGACUAUGUUUAGUCAUGUAGCUUACCCGCUUGUGCUAUUUUACCUACGCUUAGGAUGUUGAGUCAUCACACAUCUCU